rnacentral:rRNA from 1 species
CCGGGNCCAUAUCCCUAGAUU